UGGGGAAUAUUGCGCAAUGGGGGAAACCCUGACGCAGCGACGCCGCGUGCGGGAUGAAGGCCUUCGGGUUGUAAACCGCUUUUGAUUGGGAGCAAGCUUUCGGGUGAGUGUACCUUUCGAAUAAGCGCCGGCUAACUACGUGCCAGCAGCCGCGGUAAUACGUAGGGCGCAAGCGUUAUCCGGAAUUAUUGGGCGUAAAGCGAGCGCAGGCGGUUAGAUAAGUCUGAAGUUAAAGGCAGUGGCUCAACCAUUGUAGGCUUUGGAAACUGUUUAACUUGAGUGCAGAAGGGGAGAGUGGAAUUCCAUGUGUAGCGGUGAAAUGCGUAGAUAUAUGGAGGAACACCGGUGGCGAAAGCGGCUCUCUGGUCUGUAACUGACGCGGAGGCUCGAAAGCGUGGGGAGCGAACAGG
rnacentral:rRNA from 1 species